GCAGAGUUGUUGCCCACAGCAGCUCAAGGGCCACUUCAGAACAGUGCUGGGAGGUCCACAAGUGCUCAGCCUUGCUCUUGGGGCUGCAGGGAAAUGAAUAAAGGAAGACAUGAGAGCAAGAAGUAAAGCUGCUGCUCUGCUCCUGCCCACCCACGUGUGGCUCUGAGAAGGUUGUAGUGACCCCCUGGAAGUGUUGGAGCCCUUGCUCUGAGGGAGCAGGAACAAGGAGGUGCUUGAGGGACCCUUUUUCUGCUUGGAUGCUACAGGAGAAGAGGAUGAGCUGGUACAGACCUGGCUUUUCCUGGCAGCCUGCUCAGAAGGUGCAGCUGUGGAAGAGGAAACAUCUCCUUGUCUGGUACAAGGUCUUAUGCUAUGGGGACACAGACUUCUCUUCUGUGUCUU